rnacentral:miRNA from 1 species
CAACUUAUCGCAUUCUUCCAUG